ACCAAAUGCUGAUAACAAAAGAUUGAACAAAAGUGUUUUGAAUAUAGAUUAUUCAAAGUGUGAUUUAACUUAUUGGGUUUUUUUUUAUUUAUAAACACACAGAUUCCAGUCUAAAGUGACAACAAAACAGUAUGUACAAAUUCUUUAUUUUUACUAAAAGACAAUGAAUCAUGGGAAAACCCAGCCAGUUGAAGCUGGGCAGAGUAAUUCUCCUGCUUGAGCACGUUAUUCCUAUUGAUUAAUCUAAUCAAUAGGCAGAAAGUGGCAAAAGCUCAGCUGGGGAUUUGGUUAGCAACUAACGCUUGCUGUUGUCCUUGAACCUGACGCAUGUAUCUUGUUGAGUUGCAACCGGGAGAACAUUUGGCUGACAAUUAUGUUGAUGAAAAACGCUUGAAGAAAGAACCUGUCAGCGCCGUUCAACUGCCACUGCUUUUGCUUUUGCUUGUGAGUGUGUGUGUGUGUGAGACGACCUACUACUGUUGAUCCUGUUUGCAUGCGCAGCCAUAUGACAUGUAGCGGCUUGAUCAUACUUUGGAUUUCUUCAUUACUCUGGCUACGUCAAUCAAACGACUCAACUUUAAAAGGAGAAGUUAUGCCAGAAUCCUCCUUUAAAUCAACUGCGACGAGGGAGAAAGUGAAACAAAAUCCCAGAGAAAAACACCAUCCAUCAGACAAAUUGCUCAACAGAAAAGAAGCAUUACCUAACCCUUCCAACGGCGGCCCUUGCCAAAAGAAGCAUGGCUUUGACAUCUCAGCAGCUCCAGACAUUUGUUCCGCUAACUCGGGGGGAGCAACCUAAAGCCUUCUUGCCUGGCAGACCAGACAGACUGCAGGGCAGGGUGCAGCAGCCGGAGCGAGGUUUGGCCUGGGUGUGUGCGAAGUUAUAGGGUGUGGAGAGGUGCUAUAACUUACAAAGUGACACUGUAUCUAUCUCAUCCUUCUCUCACUCUCAGGUCUUUCUCCCUCCAAUUAACAAUAAAAUACAACUGCAGUGAUUCGGAAGCUGCACUGUGAGGUCCACAGAGGCGGGUUUGUCCAAAGGUCAUCUGCCUACCUGUCAGGACCUCCGCACUGCACUCUGAGCAGUGCUGUAGCCCCUUAGUCUAGAAUUGGGAAAGCAGGGGAGGGAAGUGAACUAAAAUGUCAAACAGAGACAGUGGAUGCACAAACAUCUCACACAUCAGCGCAUCUCACCCCAGACUUCCAGCCAAACAAGCUGGAAAAAGAAUACACAAGUGACUUCAUGGUUUGUUUGCAGUGAUACAUGAGAAAAACCAUUUAGGUGUAAUGGAAGGAAUUAGCCUAAAAGUAAAAUCUAAACAGACAAUGUUCCAAUUUGUUAUGUUACAAUAAACAGAAUAAUAAUCAGUAGAUCAGUGCAUGAUGUUGGCGAGCACGUUUACAAAUGUUUACAGCAGUUUAUCUUUGCCUCAUAACACAGCCCUGCUUGUGGUUAAGCCUCUGGUCAACCAAGAGUCUUUUACCCCCCAGAGGAAUGAAAUAUUCUGCAGCUGAAAUUUUAACCUAGAGGAGGUCAAUUUCCAGCAUUAGUACAAAGUCUUAAAUACACUGUAUCACUUUUGGGGACUUUCAGGCUCAUUUCUGACCACUUAUCAAAGAAUUUGCAUGCAGUUUUUUGAUAAUAUCUUUGUUUUUUCCUACUGUUUCAGUCAAGCUCAGGCUGUUAUUCAGUGUGCUGUCUAUUCAUUGCUGAUUUUUAAAAAGGUAAUUUUAUUACAAGAAAUACUUAAAAUCAGGAUUAAGAGCUUUUAAAUUAAGAAAAACAUAAUUCAACUAAGGAAUAAUCUCUAAUCACACCGGAAAUGUAACAAAAAUCCUUUCUCAAUCUUCUUUGCAAUCAAUAACCUUGUUGAACAAAGAU